UUGCAAUAAAGGUAAGAUAUUUCCGGCUCAUACGUCUCACUACUUUGCGGUACAAAUUGAUUGUAAAACUGCUUGCUGAGAGAAUCAAUAUAAUUAUGGCCAGUAUUAUAGCUCCCACUUAAAGUGCUUUUUUGGAAGGCCAUCAAAUUCUGGAUCCUUUACUUAUUGCUGAAGUUGUGGAGGAUUAUAGGUCCAAAAAGAAAAGGGAUGGAUUAUCAAAUUGGACCUUUUUUUUUUAAAGGUGACAAACUUCUUUAUCAAUAAUAAGAACUCAAAGUACAAGAGAAUUAUACAAUAGCGUAAUAAAGAAGUCUAAACAGCAGAAAAACUAGGAGAUCAAAAAUGCACCCAGAAAUCUCAACUAGGUUAACACCCCCUUGGCACCAAAAAAUCAUAUCUCAAUUAAGACUAGAAAAAUUGAACCACAUUACAAUGGGAACUAAGUCCAGACUAGUACAGAAAACUGAAAAACAAGAGAAAUACAGGAAAGAAAAUAGGGCAGAAACAGUGCAGUACAGUACAAGGGUUGAGCCUCUAUAACAAAACUACUACUGUGUUCAAACAAAAGAAGGCAUCAAACUAAGCUCCAUAGAAGGCGGCCAGGAAGCGAACGAAGAUAUCAAGAUGCAGUUGGGACACCACAUCAGAAGCAGGCCUAGGGGACUGGUUGAGAUAGGAAGACUGCCCAGUUGAGACAAAUAUCUUGAGUGGAGUAAUCUGCAAAUUCCUUGUUUAGAGAGCACCAAGCUGCAUUGCAUUUCACUGAGUUGAAAAUUUCUGACCUUGGGCUUUGCUUAUCGUGAAAGUUCUGUUGUUUAACAACCACAAUUCUGCUAGAAGAGCUUUUAAUAAAUUUAGCCAAAUGAGCCGAGACUUCUUAGGUAGAGAUGGACCCUCAAAUAGUUGAAGCACCGAGGAGCCGAGGGAAGCAUCAAAGACCCAUGCAAUAUCAAAGAUGGAGAAGAAACUGUUAGCAUCCAAAGGAGGAAUAGGGACAAAGCAGAAAAGGAUGAAGCAAUGACUCAUUAGCGUUCAUACAGAGAUGGCAAACCGAAGGCUGGAGGCACCUGUUUGGGGACUUCUUUUGGAGGAUUUCUGAACAAUUUAGGGCCCUACUGAUCCCACAAAAUACCAACCGAUGUCUCUAGAACUCCAUAUUGAUUUCAUAAAGAUAGAGUUGAUUUCCAUUUUAUAUUCUUGGAUCAAAACUAUAUCCAGAUCAUGAAUUUUUAUGAAUUUCUUCAAGGCUGCCCUUUUUGUGAUGUCAUUUAAGCCCCAAGUGUUCCAAUAAAUUAACUUCAUGAGGCUCGAUGAGAGGGUGUAAGACUUAUCAAUCUUUCGUUAAACCCGCCACAAUAAUUGACUAAGGGCAGCAGAUCCUUAGUCUAUUCCGAGGGGACUUUGAAGGGAAUAGUGAUGGCUUCAUCAAAUAAAGUAGAGCGAUCUGACCCUUUAAUUUCUUCAUUGCUCUUGAAAAGGCAUUUAUUUUGGUCCGCUGGUGGAAAUCAGGGCAGACCAAGAGGAAGAAUUCAAGCUUCAGGUGGGUUAAGGCAAGGGGAUCCUCUGUCCCCCUUCCUUUUCCUUUUUGUUAGUUAAGUGCUUAGUAGUAGCCUCAUUUCAAAUCUGCACUUAAAGAUUUGUAUGAAGGUCUAACGGUAGGAAAAGACAAUGUUCAUGUUCCACUCCUUCAAUUCGCAGACGACCCCUUAAUCUUUUGCAGGUUUGAUGCUUGUGAACUUAAAAAAGAUGCUUGAAAUUUUUUAGUGCUGUUCUGGGCGAAAGAUAAAUUGGGAAAAGUCAGCUAUACGCGGAGUUAAUAUUGAGGAAAGCAAGAUCUCCUUAGAGGCAUCCAUGCUGAAUUGUAAGAUAGAAAAGCUCCCUUUGAUGUAUCUAGGUCUUCCUUUGGGAGGAUAUCCAAAAAGUGUUCGCUAUUGGCAGCCUGUUCUAGAUAAAGUACAACAGAAAUUAGAUAAAUGAAAGUGGUUGAAUCUUUCAAGAGGACGAAGACUUACCCUUUGCUCAUCCGUGCUCUCCAAUCUUCCCACUUCAUGUCCACAUUCCACGUGCCAGAAAGUCUCUAAUUCCAUUGAAAGAUCCAUAAGGAACUUCUUUUGGGAAGGGAACAAUGGUAGCAAGUUGAAUCACCUAAUGAAAUGGGAAUUGGUUACCAAAUCCCAAGGACAUGGGGGUCUUGGGUUGGACAAGCUGAAAAUUGGAAACAGUGGGAGUGGAGGUUCAUGGCAGAACGGAACUCUUGAUGGUGCAAGGUGGUUCGUAAAUGAGGAUGGUGGUAGCAAAUGAGGAUGCACAAUUCUAUCCCUAACUCACUUGCAGCUGGCAGAACAGAACACUACCCGACUCACUUCUUCAGCGGUCAGAUUUAAAUUGUGCAUCCGUUAUGCAAAAGAAAUUGCCCACUUGUUAUAUUUUGCCACAGAUAUGCCCAUUCUGCCUCAACUAGCAUGACGAACUCCAGCACAUCUUGUUUGAAUGUGUUUAUGCUGCCAAAUGUUGGAAUAAACUCUUUCACACCAUUAAUCUCAGCUGGGUCCUUUGUAAAGAGUGCAAGAAUAACACUUUUUUUAAUGGAAACAAGCCUCUUCAUUAAUUAAAUAAAAUGAGACUAAUGCUCAAAAUACAAGAGAAUUAUACAAAGCAAUAACUCAGUUUUCUGAGAAGGAUCAGCCCAAUACUAUUCUGCAAUCAGCUACUAUCAAUUUCAAAUGAUCUAAAAGUCCAAUGGGCAGAACUGAUAGUGGGCAAACCAAGCACUUUUCAAGAACUGUCAAAUCAUCUUUCAAAUCUUCAUCCAAUUGAAACAAAGCAUUAAGGUCUGUUUCUAGAGGCUCCGAAUGCGAUAACCCCUCAUUUUCUUCCAUCCUUUCCAAUUUUCAAAUUCUACAUUUCUCACACUAAAAGGAGAAUCAAAUGUUAUCUCACACUUCUUUUUGGAUGGAAUGACCGGAAUAUGGCAUAAAGUGCCUCUCUUGUUAUCUCACACUAGAGUAUUCAAAGGCUUGAAGAUUAGAGGAUUGAGAAUUUGACUUAUUAACUUGAGAGAGAACUUAAACUUUAGCACAAUUAGCUUCUAAAACAUCAGGAUUCUGCUAGGGAAUCAACUCCUCCUUAAGGAGUCUCUUUUUAAUGGUUUCGUUUGCUUUCUUUCUUCUAACAAAGUGCUUUGAAAAAGGCUUGAAUAAGUGCCCAUUUCUCCCUUUUGGUUGGAGCUUGAUCCUUUUUUAGAUGUAAAUCUGACUGAGGAAGAAGUUAAAGAAGAAACAUUCAAAAGGGAGGAAGGGAAAUAAGAAGUUUUGAAUUUUUUCCGGACAAGGGGUUGCAGUGAUUUGAAACAUCAAGAAUGGGAGGUACUAACGGCUCAGAAGAAACAUGGGAUAGCUCUCUGCCAACAGAGGAACUUGGAACAGUUGUAAUGAGGCCAUGUGACUGUUGGGCUGUCUUGGAUGAUAAAGAAUUAGGCUGUCAUUUAAAUUUUCGUUUGCAACAAAGUUAACUCUCAAAUUCUUGAAAAUGACCCAGCUGUCGGUUCAUUAAACUCGUGAAUGACUCUUGGAAUUUCAUUGGGCAAAACAGUUGACACUGCUGGAUCUUUCUCUUUCCUCUUUAAAAUCACCUCUUCAGUUUCCUUUUCUUAUCAGUGCAAGAAUAAUGUUAGACAUAAACUUAUUGGUCCGGUUAUGAUGAAAAAUGCUUCCUUGCUUUAGUGCAGUGCUGUCAAGGCAAUUUUGGUGGAACUGUGGUUUGAGAGUCUUCCACAAUAAAACCUCCUCUUGGUCUGAUAGAUACGAGUUCACAUGCCUGAAUGCCUCUUUGUGGUUCUCCCUAAGUACACAAUUUAAAGACUUCUCUAUCUUACAAAACUGGCAGGUCUUUAUCUUCCCUCCUUGCGGACGCUGCAGAAUUGGCUCAUAGCCUUUCUAAUAGUUUCAGAAUCUUUCUGUCUCGCUGUAUUUUUUAUUUCUAGUCUUGUUAGAAGUAGUUUCUUAUGUUUUUUUUGGGUUGUAUUGGCUGUUUUUAGCCCUGCACACGGACAUUGUUAGUUGUUUUAUCUUUAUAUCAUGUAUGGAUAUGAUGAGGGUGCUAAGGGGUGUCAAUCUAGUUGAGAUAUCCGGGAGUACCUCCUGAUCCUUGGUUUGUUUGCUCAUAGUAUAAUUCUAUCGUACUAUGAACUGUUUCCUUUUAAAAAAAACUCCAAGCCACCAAAAUAAAAGUCCCCAUAGACUUCCCAAAAUCGCAAAUGCAGACAAAAAUUUGUGAAAAAUAUAUAUAAACGGAAUGUCACCACCACCCAACUCAAUUACGGUUAUGGUAAUACAAAAAAGUGUCACCUUUUGAGGAUUGUAACGGUUCUCUUUAUGUCUUCCACUGUCUAUCACAUAAACCACAUCAUCGAUCGUAAUACUGGUCUCCGCAAUAUUUGUGGCUAUUAUAACCUGAAUUCCAAGAUUAAAGACAUUUCAUAACCAUCAACAUAAACACCAUAGAUGCAUAGAAUUAAAGAGCAAAGGAAAACUGGGUCGAAUCAAGUUCAGAAGUAAAAGAAUAGGCAAAACAGAAGAAAUAGCAUUCAGCUUCUGUGGACAUUUUACUACUGCUAAAUUUCUUCUCUCACCCUAAUAUGUACAAAGGUAUAUUUAAUAAAUGAUAAGUUACUAUUCAUCAAGGGUGUUCAAAUGACCCAAGCGCUCAAACAACUCGAACUACCCAAUCCAAAUUGUAAGGAUUGGGUUUUAGUUACACUUUUACAAAUUCGAGUUGACCCAACCUCGACCCGAAUUCCUAAUAUUAUUAAAAUAUAUAAAUUAACUUAUAAAAUAUCAUAACUCAUAUAUAUUGUUAUAACAUUUGUUUAAAGUUUAUAAUAGAUAUCUUGGAUUUUGAUAUUUAACCUUUGACUUUUGUGAAAUUUUAGUUAUUAGUAUGUGUUGUAGACAAAAUUAAGUAUUCUAAGUUAAUAAAAGAAUGCACUUAAAAAGGAAAGGAGAAAAUAAAUAACCCAACCCAAGGUUGGGUUGAGUGGAGGUCCUAUUCAGGUCAUUUGGGUAGCCAACUCAAUCAACCUGAAAAAUUUAGGUUGGUCCAAAAAAUGCCCUCAAACGAACCCAACCCAUGUCACCCUUACCACUCAGUAUGUGGUGGACCAGUCCUCAAGGAAGUCUAAAACAUAUAGGACUUUCGUGUGAAUAUAUUUAGACCUAACAAAAACUAGGAGAACAUAUAGAAUUUUGAAAACGAUUCAAACAGACGUAUGCCAGAGCAACAAGAAAGAGCCAAAUUGGCCUAAUGAUCAUAAUUUAUAUAGUUUAAUUAAAAUUUAACUGCACAAAAUACGUAUUUUGUGCAGACUAAAUAAUAUUAACCAACUAUGGCAAUGUGAUUUUGCAGGUGCUGUUUGGAGUUGUUUCUUUAAGGCGUAUGGCUUUGGCUUUUGCUUUGUCAAUGCUGAGGUUUGUAGAGAGACAAUUGAGGAUUGUCAAAAUGUAUAUUACACACCACAGUGUGUAAUAUUUUGUGGUGUCUUUGGAAUGAGAGGAACAAUAGAAACGGUUGUAAAGAGGAGAGAAAGACUGAGGAGCUUCCCUAUUGAUCGGCUAAGAAUAGAAAAAAUCCCCUAGUGUGCAUGAUGUCUACCAAAACUCCAUUGAUCGGCUAAGAAUAUGAGAAACCUUGUUUGAUGAGGGCUGUGAUCUCUUCUCCUUCCCACCUGUACUUAAUGUCCCAAAAUCAGUUUUUGCAACCUUGCCGAGGAAUAGAAGUCCAUCAACCUCUACAACAUUUUCCGGCCACCUCACCGGCGCCGGAGAAGAUGAAUGGUUCCGGUAAACAGGUGGCAGCCAACUCCAUUAGGCAGGAACCUGAACAGCCU
rnacentral:lncRNA from 1 species